rnacentral:lncRNA from 1 species
UUUAAAGUACUUAUAUUAAAAUAAAAGGAAUCAUUCUUCUCCUAUCUGCACAAGAAAGAAGAGGCUCCACAAAAAUAAUAUAAAAUUGAUUAAUGAUUGUUGAAGAGGCUCCACAACAAUAAUAUAAAACUGAUGAAUGGUUUUCUGUAAACAAAGAAGAAGUAGUCAGUUUAGCUUCGCUCGAUAAUCUUUGAGACUUUAGCAUUCUGAUCAGAAACACUUUUUUCUUUC